ACUCUUUGCACAAAACCAGAGCAAACUGCGAUCGGGCCCAAGAAACCGUUUGACUCUCUGAACGGCAAGAGCAUUAAUAAAGCAUCUUUAACUAUUUGAGGAACUUUUAUGGUCCCAUCAGGUGGAUGAACAAUGGAUUUUUUGGUUCAUUGGCAGUUUUGAAAAGUACAAAAACAAAAAUCAUUUCGGGUCAGACCAAAAAUAAAAAAAAUUAAAUUGUCGGUGAAUUGGAAAGUCAGGGGGGAAAAUUGUUUCAGGUUGAACAAAACACUGAUAACACUGACCUGAUAACCCCCAAGGAUAUAGAAUAAAACUCCCCUGUCUUUCAGUUCCAAGGGGGGUGGGGGAAUAAUUCCAAGUAAGGGAAGUGGCUAAAAGAUUUGAUUCUGCAUUGUCCUAUGUCUUGUUUUGUCACUACCCCAGUGCAAAGUGAUCUGCUGUUCUGAUUUAGGUGGCAUUUCACACCCAUUUUGCAUAGGCAUAAAGGACAACAGUUGGCCGCAGGGCAAUGUGUCCUGCAUUUACACCCAAUUCACCAAAGCACUCGAGCACAUGCUAGACAAGCCCCAAUGGGUGCAUUUUCAUUAGGAAAAAAGGUGUGCUAACUAACAUGAGUUAAUAUCCUAGUGAAGACAAAGCAGUCUGUAGUUUUAACACACAUUAGUAGGUUAAAGUAAAAACUAGUGGAGAGCCCUGACCAAGAUCAAGGCCACAUCAUCCUGUGCAAUACACAGAUACAUAAUGAAAGACAGCUCCUGCCCCAAAGAGCUUACAUCUAAAUAGACAAAGAGUGGGAGGGGAAACAGAGGCAGAGAGAGGGGAAGUGAUUUGCCCAAGGUCACACAGCAGGUCAGUGGAAGAGGUGGGAAUAGAACCAGGUGUCCUGAAUCCUAAUCCUUUGCGACAUCCAUUAGAACACAUUGCCUUCCUAGAAACAAGCCACUUUGGGUCACAUAUCGAAAAUGAUUUAGUUAAACGGGAGCAAACUGUGUGAACACACUUAUAUCAGUUUGAAACUGGUUUAUAUUGGUUUGACUUGUGCUUGUACGGCAUUGUGUAUAUGGGAAGGUUGCACCAGUAUAGCCUAAGAGUGGAUAUUCUUACUUCGAUCUGAACCUGGUUUAUAUCAAUCCUGUAUAGGACGUUGGCGAGAAUGAUACUGGAGUACUGUGUCCAGUUCAGAAGGCCAUAUUUUAAAGGGGAUAUUAAAAAAUUGGAGAGGGUGCAGAGAAGACCCACAAAAAUGGUCCAAGGACUGAAAAAAAUGCCUGCCAGUGAGAGACUUCAUAAGUUCAAACUGUUUAGCUUCUCAAAAAGAUCAAGAGGUGACUUGAUUACUAGUAAGCAGAUACAUUCAUGGGGAGAAAAUCGCAGGUCCUAAAGGGCUCUUUAAUCUAGCAAAGGAGGGCAGAACAAGACCCAGUGGCUGGAAGUUAAAGUCAGACACAUUCCAAUUAGAAAUAAGACACCAAUCUUUCACAGUGCAAGUGAUUAACCACUGGAACAAACUCCCAGGGGAUGAAAUUCUCCAUCUCUUGGUGUCUCCAAAUUCAGACUGACUGCCUUGCUGGAAGAUGCUUUAGCCAAACGGCAAGUUACUGGGCUCAGUACAGAGGGAACUGGGUGAAAUGUUAUGGCCUGUGUUAUGCAGGAGGUCAGACUAGAUGAUCUAAUUGCCCCUUCUGGGAUCAAACCAAUGGAGUAUAGUCCACACACAGUCGCAACCAUUUAACUAUAUUGGUUUAACAUUAACAUCUUUAGCUAAAUCGGUACAACUUCUGUGGAGAGCCAAGCUCUACAUUUAUCAACACAAUCUAAAUCAAUAUGAGCCCGGUUUAAACUGAUAUAAGGACAUCUCCACAGACGUUUGCACUGAUUUGUCUGAAGACCAGGUCUUAAAUCUUGCUUAUAAUCAAAAUUGUGCUAAUCUCAUCUCAUCUACAACCAGAGUGGCAACAAUUAUUACUAUUUAUUAUUUGUAUUAUCGGAGCCCCAUUCAUGGACCAGGACCCCAGUGUGCCAGGAGCUGUACAAACACAGAAAAAGACACAAGUCCCUGCUUCAAAGAGCUUACAAUCUAAGUGUAAAAUAAGAAACCCGGAUACAAACAGAGCAAUAGAGAGUAUGGUGAUUUUAAUCUGAGUUAGUAACAAUCCCUAGCAUUUAUAUAACCCUUUUCAUCAGUAGAUCUCAAAGGACUUUACAAAGGAUAAAUAGCAUUAUCCCCAUUUUAGAGGUGGGAAACUGAGGUACAGAGGGGGGAAGUGACUUGCCUAAGGUCAUGCAGCAGGCCAGUGGCAGACCAAGGAAUAGACACCUGGUCUCCUGAAUCCCAGUGCAGUGGGAUUCAUAAGACCACACUGUCUGUCCAAAUGCAAGCAUUCAAAAAGCAGGUUUAAAAAAAAAAAAGGUGGGGUUCCUUUUAUUUGUCUUCCAGAUGUCACAUUCUUCUCUAUAACCAGGAGAGAUGGAGACUUUUUUUAAAUAAGAGCUGGCAGUCAUGAGAAUCCAGGAGUGCAACCUGCAUUACAGACAAACCCCAGAUCUGCCCUUGUGCCCAAAUCUGCUUUUACCCCUUGCAAACUGCAACUGCAAUUCCAGCAAAGCUUGGCUCUGAUGUUCCUUGGAAAAUACAGCUUCCCCAGCUGAUUAUGCUGGGUACCUGGUCUGUCCCGAUGCAAAUGUAUGCAGCUAAUUAGCCACUUGCCAGAACCACCAAGGGAUAGGGUGGAGGGAUAUUUAUUCACAAAGUUCAAAAGAGUCAUUUUAAAGUGGGAAAAGUCUUAUUGCUCUUUCUUUCCAUUCACAACCCUGGCAAGGUAAAAGACGACAAAAGAAAGGCAUACAGCAGCGUUUAUAUUUAUAUGAUUAACACUGCAUGAAAGGAUCCAGCCCUCAUUUCCGGCAUUCCACCUCCCACGAAGUGUAAUUUUAUUAAGUGUUUAACUCUACACACAGUACUUAACAAACAGAGCUAAUUUGAACUGGCGCUCCAAGAGGACACGUUUAGCACAAUGCAAGCCUGGCGCUCAUUAAUUCAGGUGAUUCGAGCAUGUUUGGCUUAUGUCUUUCCCCUCCGCGCACCUGGAGUUUACAGUAACAAUUUACAGCUCAGCUUGCAAAGCUGCCAUAAUUUAAGACAGAGCCAUUUAAACGGGUAAAAAAGUGUUUUAAAAUGCAAAUGGUUUUCCUUUAUUUAUUUAAUUAUUUAUUUAUUUGUUGCCAAAAAAUUCAGCUGCUAAACUCAUUAGCUGAAACUAAGCCACUUAAAGGUGACACCAAAUAUGGAUUUUUUUUUAUGUUUGCCAAGGAUUGGCUCCUUCUGCCUAGGGUGACCAGAUGUCCCAAUUGUAUAGGGACAGUGUCAAUAUUCGGGGCUUUGUCUUAUAUAGGCACUUAUUACCACCCACCCCGGUCUUGAUUUUUCACACUUGCUAUCUGGUCACCCUGCAGGGGCCCAAUCCUGCAAAUGCCAAGGGCAAAGCAGUCAUGAGACCAACCAGAACAUUUCACGGUCGCUUUGCACUAGUAUGAACGAACAGGAGUCGAGCCCUGUAGCUUCCACCAUCAAUAUUUGAUCCAGGUGGAAUCUUGAGCCUAAAGACAAGCACAAAAAUUCUCUGAGGAAGCAGUCUCAUCCCAGACGGUCUCUGUACCUUGCAAUCUAUCCUCACUACUAGACAUCACUCCCCCAACACACACAUUGCGCUAUCUGUUUAACUCACUUAUGCCAUCCAGCUUCAUAGCUGCCUAGGGCUUUUACUUUGAGUAACAGCAGUCACCGUUCUUUGAAUAGCACAUGAUCGUUUGGCCUGAAUUCUUCACUGGCUUCUUAAAUUUUCUUCUUGUUCCCUUCCAUUUUUGCAGGGGGUGGUUUUUGCAAUCCGAGAAUCUGGAGCAAUUUAUCUCAUCCCUCCCUCAUCCUUGGGAGUUUAGAGAGAGAUGGGGUAAAAUUUUCAAAUGUGCCUAAGUGACUUAGGAGCCAAAUAGCCAUAUUUAAAAAUGAUGUAGGCAAUAUGGAGCCUAAGUCUCACUGAAAGACAAUAGGAUUUAAGCUCCAAAGGUAUUAAGCAAACCUGAUCAAAAAUUUUCAUACAAACUAGUUUUCCGUCGGAAUAUGCUGACUGGAUUAAAUCAGAACUUUUUGCUGGAUUUCAUCAGCAUUUUUGUAGGAAAUUAUCCAAAAUGCUUUGCUUCAAAAAGGGUGAAAGGCUUGGUUUUGAUGCUGUGUUUUUAUAUUCUAGUAUCAGAUUGUAUAAAAGUCUAAACAAGACAUUUUGACCUUAUCAAAACAAAAUAUUUUUGAAUUGUUCACAGAAUGGAAAUUCCAUUUUUUGGCCAGCUCUAGUAUUUAAGCACCUAACGAUGCAGAUGGGUACCUACUAGGAUUUUUAAAUGUGCCUAAAUGAGCUAGGUGCCUAAAUCCCAUUGCCUUUCACUGGGAGUUAGGUGCCUAACCUGCUUAGAAGCCUUUAAAAUUCUCACUAGGCAUCUACCCGCAUCUGUAGGUGCCUAAAUACCUUGGUAAAUCUGGCCCUAAGUCACUUUUACAAAUGGGACUUGGGCUCAUAGGUCACUUAGGUGUUUUCUUAAUAGAGGUCCCCCCCUAAAGCUUUUCUCCUCCCUUAGAAUAAGCUUAGCUACUUUAUUCUUUCUGCGGCAGGUAUCUGGGCAUAAUCUAUUGACUAGGGUUGGGGGGAUGGGACUGGGAAUCAAGACUCCUGGGUUCUAUUACUAGUUCUGGAAAGUGAGUGAGAUUUAGUGGUUAGAGCAAAUGGGCUGUGACACAGGACUCCUGGGUUCUACUCCCAGCUCUGUUGUUGACUCACUCCAUGACAUUGGGCAAGCCACAUACCCUCUGUGUGCCUCAGUUUCCUCCAAGAGUAAAACAGGGAUUGAGAGACUAAAUUACCUAAUGCUUGUAAAUUGCUUCUUGCUGGGAAGUGCUACAAAAGUGCAAAGUAUCGUUAUUUUUAAUAAGUUGUGGGAACAGAGUUGUCCCUCCUCUUUGACCUUCAAAGCAAAGACAAUCUGGUGGAAUGGUGGCCCAUUUUCACCUCAGUCAUCGAGAUGAGAUUGAAGGCCAGCACUCUGAAUCGAUCUCAUUUCAUCUGUUUGUGACACAGUGUUCCCAAACAGUUUAAAAUACAUCCCGAACAUAGGAAUCAAAAGACUAAAUCAGACCCGUGGGCCAUGUAGCCCAGUAUCCUGGCCAGAUUCUUCAGAAGUAUCCUUGCAGUAGGCAGAUGUGGGAUAAUCUACCCUCUACAAUCCCUAAUAGAGAUCGGUUUAAGCCCUGAAGCAUGAGUUUUAAUAUCCCUUCUAAUGCUCAUUUUGUUGGCAUUAACUAUUCUAACUCUGGAUAUUCUUGUUAUCCAAACGUCCAAUCCCUCUUUGAAUCUUUCAAAGGUUCAAAUCAUCAGACCUGAUGUUUUAAAAACAAGGCUUUAGGAUGAGAGUCACCCUUUGAACUACUUAAUUCAAGCAAGCACCACAAGCCCUGUUCUGAUGGUCAUAUUAGACGAGUUAAUAGAAAUAUCCUUGUCCCUGAUCUGGGUGCCAUCAGUUUGACAACAGUGUAGCCCCCAGUUUGAAACUGGUGUGAAUCCCAGAAUUUGACACCAGUGUGACUCUCAUCUUGAAAUGGUGGGACUCCCACCUUGAAACUGACAUAACUCCCAGUUUGACACUGGUGGGACUCGCUGACUGCAUUGGGAAUUACUCCUGAUUUACACUGGUGUAACGCUGAUCAGAAUCAGGACCCUUAUGCUCGCAAUCAGUGAUGCAGCCUUUACAAACAAUUUCUUUCCUUAUCAAGGAAUGUUAAUCCCCUUCUCAUCCUCAGUUUGAUGGACAGAAAUUUAGGAGACAUUGAUUUUUGUUCCUUAAGAUUGUUGUUAUGAGAUCAUCAGAUACUGGCUUGGUUCUUUGUUGACUUGACUCUUGUGCACUCAUUUCCACCAGUGCAAAGUGAGAAUGUAAAUAUUACCCAUUCUAAUUAGGUAGCACUUUGUGUGACAUUCAGGGAGACAAGAAACGGGGCCCAUUUCAUUUUGACGUCAAUGGCAGCUUUACCUAAGUAAGUUCUACAAGCUUUGCUCUUGGCUGUGUUGUAGUCUGGAUGGGGGCUGGUAUCAAAACCAGUGGCAUCAGAACAUGGUUGGCAGGGCAUCUGGCUUUUUAGCACCGCAGUUACAAUUCCAGGGAGGCCUGGAUGAAUUUUUAUACAUGACUAGUAAACAAACAACAGGAUUGUCUUUGAGGCUGGGGAAUGCAAGGCAGAAACAAAUAUAUCUAAAGAGGCCUAGGAGUUCCAGCUCCUAUCUGGCCUGUGUUUAAAUACACCAGUAUCCAUUUCAGAAUUUACAAUACACUGUAGCCCCUGCAUAAUGCUACUCUUACAGCUGGGGGCACUAUCUAAACAGCACCCCCUCCCCCUACCACUCUAAGCCUUCAAAACCUUAUUUUCACUGGUUGUUGCAAGAAAAGCUAUGACAGGACUAGAACUUUUGGAGCUGUAAACUCCAAGCAGUUGGUUAAAGUAACAAAGUGAGAGUGAGG